UUUUUGUUGAAUAUAAAUCAAAGAAAACUUUGAUGAGUUAAAUUCGUUCAUGGCAAUCCAAUGAGAAUGAGGUCCAUCAAACCAAAGGCUCUGAUAGCGUCAUGUAUUGCGCAUGCUCCACGCCCACCGGAUGCGGAAAGGUCCGUUGAGAAGUUAACGAGCGCACGUGGAGUUACUUCUUUGGCAUACCUGAUAGUGAGAAAUACAUCACAAAAUAAAGCCACAUUCCCAUGCUCUGAGAUUCUUAUGCACCUCCUCAACAAUACAUGUGACGUGUAUGUGGCAGUGCAAGCAUUGUGUUACCAGAGAGAGCAGCAGGUACAAAUUACUUCAACAUUAUAAACUACAUCAUCAUUACGGAAUAGGUCAACAUUAUCUGUGCAUAUAUGUUAAUUGUCCGUGCACAUUUAAGACUUGGAGUGGACUGAACACUCAUGUCUAUAAAGCUCAUUCAUCUCAGUUUACACAGACAGCUUCAAGUUCAGUAACUUUUAAAUGUGAGUUAUGUGACUGCAGUGACGUCUUCUCUGAGAGAGAUUUUUUUGUCCAUAUUGGAACACAUCUGCGAAGUAACGAGACAGUUAGUUGUGUGUUUCUUGGUUGCCCUUUCAAGACAAAUAUUUACA